UCGGGGAUCCCGGGGCACUCAUUGUUGCGACGGUGCGGGGCAUGAUUAUUGGGUAACAGUGGUGCCCCGGGCUCCGUUCUCUCUGGGAGCGUGGCCGAGCAGGCGCGCCGGGAUGCGGUGUGCUUUUCGAAAGGAACGGAGCCCCGGGGCGUCCGCCAGCUUUCCUCAGUCGAGCUGGGCCCUGUGCGGCGGCCUCGGCGCGUCCCCGGGCCCGGCGGGAGCGCGCGCUCUGACCCCAAAGGUUUGCCUGCAAUGAGACUUUAAUCUCUACACUUAAAGAACAUUCUUUCUGAGCUGCUGUGAAUAAAUUUGGAAUGAUAUUGUCUAUUUUCAACUAAUGGAGAACUAGCUGCAUCUUGAACAAGGAUUGCUGUAUUGGACAACUUCAGAACAUUGAUCAAAAUGUCAUCAAACAGGAGUCAGAAUCCUCAUGGACUGAAGCAGAUCGGUCUUGACCAGAUCUGGGAUGACCUCAGAGCUGGAAUUCAGCAAGUGUACACCAGACAAAGCAUGGCAAAGUCCAGAUACAUGGAGCUCUACACUCAUGUUUAUAACUACUGUACUAGUGUGCAUCAGUCCAACCAAGCCCGGGGUGCUGGAGUCCCUCCUUCCAAGUCAAAAAAGGGGCAGACUCCUGGGGGAGCUCAGUUUGUCGGCUUGGAGUUAUACAAGCGAUUGAAGGAGUUUUUGAAGAAUUACUUGACAAAUCUUCUUAAGGAUGGAGAAGAUUUAAUGGAUGAGAGUGUGCUGAAGUUCUACACUCAGCAGUGGGAAGAUUACCGAUUCUCCAGCAAAGUGCUGAAUGGAAUCUGUGCCUACCUCAAUAGACAUUGGGUUCGUCGCGAAUGUGAUGAAGGACGAAAAGGAAUAUAUGAAAUCUAUUCGCUUGCGUUGGUGACAUGGAGAGAUUGUUUGUUCAGGCCAUUGAAUAAACAGGUAACAAAUGCUGUUUUAAAACUGAUUGAGAAGGAAAGAAAUGGCGAAACCAUCAAUACAAGACUGAUUAGUGGAGUUGUACAAUCUUAUGUGGAAUUGGGACUGAAUGAAGAUGAUGCAUUUGCAAAGGGCCCUACGUUAACAGUGUAUAAAGAAUCCUUUGAAUCUCAAUUUUUGGCUGACACAGAGAGAUUUUAUACCAGAGAAAGUACUGAAUUCUUACAGCAGAACCCAGUUACUGAAUAUAUGAAAAAGGCUGAAGCUCGUCUGCUUGAGGAACAGCGGAGAGUUCAGGUUUAUCUCCAUGAGAGCACACAAGAUGAGCUAGCACGGAAAUGUGAGCAGGUCCUCAUUGAAAAACACUUGGAAAUUUUUCACACAGAGUUUCAGAAUUUGUUGGAUGCUGACAAGAAUGAAGAUUUGGGCCGCAUGUAUAAUCUUGUAUCUAGAAUUCAGGAUGGCCUAGGAGAAUUGAAAAAACUACUAGAGACACAUAUUCAUAAUCAGGGUCUUGCGGCAAUUGAGAAGUGUGGAGAAGCUGCUCUGAAUGACCCCAAGAUGUAUGUGCAGACAGUGCUGGAUGUUCAUAAAAAAUACAAUGCCCUGGUGAUGUCAGCAUUCAACAACGAUGCUGGCUUCGUGGCUGCACUUGAUAAGGCUUGUGGUCGCUUCAUAAACAACAAUGCAGUUACCAAAAUGGCCCAGUCAUCCAGUAAAUCCCCUGAGCUUCUUGCUCGGUACUGUGACUCCUUGUUGAAGAAAAGUUCUAAGAACCCAGAAGAGGCAGAACUAGAAGAUACCCUCAAUCAAGUGAUGGUGGUCUUCAAGUACAUCGAGGACAAAGAUGUAUUUCAGAAGUUCUAUGCAAAGAUGCUUGCCAAGAGACUGGUACAUCAGAACAGUGCGAGUGACGAUGCUGAAGCAAGCAUGAUCUCUAAAUUAAAGCAAGCUUGUGGUUUUGAGUACACUUCCAAACUCCAGCGAAUGUUUCAAGACAUUGGUGUAAGCAAAGAUCUAAAUGAACAGUUCAAAAAGCACCUGACGAAUUCAGAACCACUGGACUUGGACUUCAGUAUUCAGGUCCUGAGUUCCGGAUCAUGGCCCUUUCAGCAGUCUUGCACGUUUGCCUUGCCGUCAGAGUUGGAGCGCAGUUACCAACGGUUUACAGCUUUCUACGCCAGCCGUCACAGUGGCAGAAAAUUGACAUGGUUGUAUCAACUGUCCAAAGGGGAACUAGUCACUAACUGCUUCAAAAACAGAUACACUUUGCAGGCGUCCACAUUCCAGAUGGCCAUCCUGCUUCAGUACAACACAGAAGACGCCUAUACUGUGCAGCAGCUGACCGACAGCACUCAGAUUAAAAUGGACAUUUUGGCACAAGUCCUACAGAUUUUACUGAAGUCAAAAUUGCUGGUCUUAGAAGAUGAAAAUGCCAAUGUUGAUGAGGUGGAAUUGAAGCCAGACACCUUAAUAAAGUUAUAUCUUGGUUAUAAAAAUAAGAAAUUGAGGGUUAAUAUCAAUGUACCAAUGAAAACUGAACAGAAGCAGGAACAAGAAACCACACACAAAAAUAUAGAGGAAGACCGCAAACUACUGAUUCAGGCGGCCAUCGUAAGAAUCAUGAAAAUGAGGAAGGUUCUGAAACACCAGCAGUUACUUGGUGAAGUCCUCACUCAGCUGUCCUCCAGGUUCAAACCUCGGGUCCCAGUGAUCAAGGUCCCUCCUAGUGAAGCUUUUCCAAGGAGGCUGCCAUAUUCACCCCAGGAUGUCCCCGGAAGGAGGGCCCAGGCCAGGGGUUGAAGGCUCUCAUCUUCCUCAGAUCCAGCCCAGCCCAGGGGCAUCCUCAGACCUCCAGGGACUCUGCCACAAGGCACUGCACCGACCUUUGCUCUCAAUCUCCAUUUCCUGGCUAAAGGGCAAGAGGAAUGCAGAGGAGGUGAUGGAAUGAAUCUUCAGUCUCAGCACUGUCACUUCACUCCUUGGUUCAUUCUCCUACUAAGGAAGCCCUCAGGGUUCUCAGCUUACUUAUCCCUCUGCUAAAGUCUAAGCAAGUGAAAUUCUGAAGAGCCUGGCACCAAAUGCACUUCAGUUCCCAUGCUUUAUUUUGGGGUAGGGGACACAGUUGUACUUAAUCAAUUUCAGGCUUACACAUUAGGCAACUUAUUAUGUACUACUAAGCCACAUUGUUAGCCCUUCGCUUUGAGAUAGAAAUGUGUUUAAUUGGGCAGCCCUGGCUGGCCUCAAACUCGUGAUCUUGGUUCUGCCUCCCCAGCGCUGAUUGUAGGCAUGCUUCAUCACACCCCAUUCAUCCAUGUCUCGAGGUAUGUCUGCUUUUCACUCUUAAUAAUUAAGACUCUCCAUAUAUAAACUAGGUAGAAACCAACCACCCCAUGCUUUCCCUCCACCCGAAAGGAUAUUAGAGUUCCAGACAUGAUUUGAAAACUCCCCUAUUAAUUUGCAAACUGUGAAUCAUGCUCACAGCUUGCUUGUCCUCACGGUUCACUUGUUCAUUUUCAUACCUGAAACACAGUUAAAAAACAAAAGCACCGUAGGCCCACUUAACGAAUUUAUCUUAAAUCCAUGAAGAAUAGGGAAGAGGACAAGCAAGUUUGGCUGGGAUCUCUUCGAAUGUUCCAGGAUCAAAUGUACUUUUAGGGUAAGUACACAGGAUCUCGACAGCAGACUCAGCCAGGGCAGGGGCUAACCUCACAUUUUAGGUUGUUGGUAAGUGAAGUGUUGGUAUGCAUUCAUUCAGCUUCCUGCACUGCUGCCAUUCCUCCCUGCCACAAUGGAUUCUCACCCUUCUAGAACCCAGAUAAGCUCUUUGUUCUGUAAAUCAACUUUUGGUUGUGGUUUAUCACAGCAAGAGAAAUAACAAUGUAGGGGCUAGGCAGACUAUGAGUUGUAGGCCAGCUUAGGGUAUGUGGAAGACCUUGUCUCAAAAAUAAAUAAAAAUAACACAAAACACUUGGAAGGUCCAAAGGAAACUCUAAAUGGCAGUCCCAGUAUCUAGAAGUGAGCUCAAUGUGCACUAUAGGUAGGUUUCUGGUAGAUAAAAAAAAUCAGCAUUCCUCAGGAACUUGUACAAAAUGAGUCAUUUCCUUAUGGUGGAAGAGACGUGAGAGUUCAUGCUGGCCUUUAGGCUCCCACAGUAUCACAAGUACCUAUUACACAUUCCAAAGUCCACACUAAUCAUUAGCCCUUCUCACCACCUCCUCUACCCUACACUGUCUCCAUCUCAUUCUCCUCCUAACCCUGUGGUUCUUACUGUGUGCCCCACCCCCUUCCUCAUUCUGCUAAUGCUUUUCUCAACUAUCUUCUCUAUUCUCCAUCCUCUGCUAUUCUCCCCUUACAAAUAGGACUGGCCAUGUUCAGUUUACUUCCUCUCUGCAAUGGGCUCUUGCAGAUGCCUCUAGCUGUUCUCUCAUAUCUAUAACAAAAGCCAUACUGUGGGAUGGUCAUGUUAGUUUUAUAUAUCUACAAACCUGAAUUUCUACCCCAUACUAAUUUACUUCGUGAUGACAGGAUGACUGUAAAACUUUGGAUAAAAUCUAGGUUACACUCAAGUAUGCCCAAGUAUUUACCUUCCUGGGCCUUGAGUUGACACUGCCUCGGCAACUAAAACUUGAAGAAAAAAAAGCAGUUGAAAGAAGCAAGACCUAGAUUCAGGGGUGUCUACCCAUUCCCAAAGAGAUGAUUCUUAAUUAGCUUACCCUUACUGCUCUUGUUAAUGCUUCCCCAAGUCCCGGAGUGAAAAAAAGGACCAAAAUGGGGGCAAAACUGGCAACUACUAGAGCUUACCUUUUAAUCUAACAGUGUUGGUUUGCCUCCUUUAAAUUAAUGUUCCAGUGGUUAAGAGCACUUGAUGUGUAGCCCUAAGACUAAGCAGACAGCCUCUCUUGCACCUAUAAUCUCAGUGCUGUUGUGGGAGAGAAAAAGAGGGUCAUUAGGGCUGCCCCUUUACAUCUGAACUCUUUAUUGACUAUGUAUAGAUUCGUGAGAACGGGGACUCAGUCUUUAGCUGUGUAAUACACUUCUGAACCCAUUGAGUUCAAAAGGAUGCCUCUAAACCCAGUUGUAACACAAUCGUGGUGGGUCACAGAGCUAAAGGGUUAGACAUGAAUAUAAGAGUUUUCAUGGGACUGGGAGUCAGAGUGAGGGUAAGGGUGAUCAGUUUGCAAAGAGUACAUAUGUGUAAAAAUGAAAAACGAUUUAAGUUGAGAAUAAAAAGGCAAUGUCUGUGUCUGGAAAUGGCUUACUCUUAACCCGAGACCACCAGACAAGGAGUCACCAGCAUAGCAAGCCACUGCCUUUGUAGGAACUUGAAGACCUGCUUCCAAGAAGGAAUGAGAAGAGUGGCUACUGAAAUAGCAGGCUCUUGAAAUUUAAAACAUUACGCAUUUUACAGUGUUUAUUCCUUACUGAACAAUCUCUGCCUAGUUUUCCUUUUAGAGACCUAGAUUUGAGGAUUAAAAAAACAAAUAUCUUUUCAGUUCAGGCAGCUAUGUGGUGGCAGACUAGCAAGAUCUUUGUCCAACCAGGUGAGCAUGGAAUUAUUUCUAAUACCUACCCACAUAGAUCUACUUAUGGCCCUCACUUGAAUCAUUUAUAACAAAGGGUGAAAUGCAAAAGCAGAAUACUUAAGUUCUUUCAAAUGUUCACGAGACUUAUUCUGGUGACCUGUAAACAAACUUUAACCAUGCAAUUUGUUGGUAUCCAUAGCAGUGGCCAAACACUGCCCACCAAGGCAGAAAUCAAAGAACUUCUAGUAAGUAUAUAAGAGAGGUAAGGUGAUUUCCAAUAUUGAAAAAUAUACUGUUUCUAGGUAUAUAAUGACUUUUUAAUACAAGCUUUUCCCACAUCAGUCUGGAAGAGGCAGUAUGGACCAGUUUACCUGUGCCAGGCUUUGCGCUCUCCUCCACUAUACAUGGGCUUCAAUCUGACUGGAUCUAACUAGAAUGAAAGUUUAUCAAAUGGAGCCAGUGAGAGGAUUUUGGGGGUGAAGGCACUUACUGUCAGGCCUGAUGACCUGUUUUGAGCCCAAAGACCCAGUGUGGAAGGAGAAAAUGUUUUCUGUUUUUCUGAAAGGCCUCACCAGAUAUGGGUUUGGGUCUCCCACACAACCUACAACCUUUUUGCCUUGGCUCUCCAAGUACUUGUCUGAGCAUUUGUAACCCUGUCUAAACUAUAUAGAGUCUAAGCUAUGUAGGUUCUUAGAAAUAACCUAGUGCAACCUGUUAUUUGUAUAUAUGGACAGCAGAAUGGAAGGGUCAACAGCUUUCCCCAGGGAACAGGCUGGCUAGAAUGUGUCCCACUGUUUCCUACAACUGACUUUCCUUGCACAGAACCUGUGCCAGUGUUGUUCACUCAUGUCCUCUAAAGACUAACAGGCAGUCCUAACACUGGAUCUAGGUAAACACUAUGCCAGUAUGUUUAUUAGUUAUUAAAUAUUCACAGACAGCUGGAAAAACAAAGAGGAGUUGUGUUUUCCCACUGGAUAUAGUCUUUCUAGAAUCAGUUGGUGAUGUUCUGUAACAAGUGACUCAACAACAAGUUCAAGUAUUCUUUAUUCAAAUUUGAAAAAUGUACCAUACUGCAUUAUUGCAAAAAUUCACUGGUACAAAACACUUUGCAGCUGGUGAGAAGGCAAUAAAAAGUUGAUUUUAAAACUCAUUACUAUAAAUUACUGUUACAGUACUUUGCAAAUUCAAAAUUUCAAACUGCAUUUCCUUUUUCUAAAUUGCCCACAGUACUCAAGGUUCCUGAAGCUAAGGCAGCUGUUUGAGAGGAGGGGAAGAGGUAGUAGAUUUCAAGGGAUUUCCAUUUCUCGUUCGAUGCCCACAUACUUCAGGGCAUCAGCCUGGCUGUAUCUGAAACAACAUGAACAAAAAAUGACUACCUGUCCAACAUCAGGAAAACCAAGCCUGCUGAUAAGAGUAGAUUAUGUCUCUAACAUCCAGAUCCCCGACCCGCUUUACACAGCUGUAUACAUGAAGGGGAGGCAUGCAUCUGUCACUGGUCACCUGCUAGUUGUGAGUUGCCUGUGCCAGAAGCACUCCCCACCCCUGCUCAACCCUCCCUGUGCCCCUGCAGCACUCUGCUCUGAAAGGCAAUUCCACACUGAUGUCUGGGUCUAAUCCAAAACCAUGGUUUGUAAAGAAUGGCUGAUGCCAAGAGCAACUUUCCCACUGACAGCGCUGAUUCAGAAAGUGGAUGUCAAGACAGGCUCUUGAGGGUCCCACUACGAGGGAAGCUGGACAGCUUUGCUUCAUACCCUGGGCCAUUUGAAACAAACAUGAGAUAAAAGCCAGGAGGACCCUAUUCCAGUUCCACAAGUUUCAGUUGGUUCUCUCCAGCUAUGCAGUUAAAACAUAGGCCUCCCAUUUCAACAACUUAAAUUUCUAAGUGGAAUGGAUAUUCAACCCCAAGAAUUCUUUAACUCGUAGUCUUUAUUAGGUCAUAUUUAAAUGAUGGUCCAUGGAGCCAGGUGGCUCUAAGAAAUAAGUCCACAGUGCCAGCCUGAUCCUGCCAAUGGAGUUAAACACUGUCAAUGUUAUGAUAUGUUAUGAAUGUUAUGAAGUUUCCUCAGAAAGAAUACAGUGACCACCAGGUGAUGUUCACAAUUAAAACAAUGAAGAUGUAAAUGUGCUACCAAUAAAGAUACACAUGCUGUACCAAUGAGAAGGCGCUGUAGAAUAUAGCUGUAUAAGGUGUGUCAUGAGGCAUAGAUUAAGCCCUAGAAGUCAGUUCUAUCAAUAGCAGGGUGUUAGAUGUAGCUUUCUGCAUAGGUUUUGUUAAUUUUUUUCAAAUAAACAUUGUACAAUUAAUACAUGAGAACGACCCUGAGGAAACAUGCAACUCUCUAUUGGUACCCACAGUAAAUAGUGACUGGCCAGUUAAAAGAGCGCUGCUUCUAAUGAUGGCAGAUCUGCCAGAGAACGUAAGUAAAAACAGCCUUUGAACCUAGCCCGUAGCGUGAGAAGGGACACUUAGAUAGCACUAAAAGUAUAUUUUACCAACCUGUAAUCAAAGAACAACUCUUCACCAGUCUGGAUAGCUCUCUUAGCAAAGAUGCCUAUCCUGUGGUCACCAUUAACCAUCAUAACUGUAAAGAGAAACAUUGGGGACAGUGAGCAGGAAGACAGGCCACAGGAAGUUAACUGUUUCAAAUAGCAAGUACUUAAGAGGUACUGAAGUUUGCUGCCACUUGGCUGCAAAGGGAACUGUUGCAUCGAUCUGUCAAUUCUAACUUAAAAGCUUACCUUUUGCAUAGCAGUUUGGAUUUACUGAAUGAUUAGCAAAACGAAUUUUGUUGCCCUUGCGGGUUGCAUCCACCACAAAAUCUAAAGAGAAGAAACAGACAAUCCAGUGACUUAUUUUCAGUCAUAGACCAAGGUUGUUAUGGUUUUCAGGAUUUGACUUAAAAAGCAAAUAAAACAUUCAACUUCAUCUAAUAUAAGAAAUGUCAUUUGGAAGAAAAUGCUCUUCUAGAUUAAAGUGAAUCCUGCUUGUUAAAUGUAGCUCUCAAACGCCAUGACUUCGCAAUUCUAUACUGCUGGGCAAAACAUGGCUUAAACGAUAUGAUCCAGCCAAAUUCCUCUGAGUAUCAAGAAGUGGGCAUAUUAACAUUUUAAGAUUACAAUAUUUCUAUGGAGCAUUUUCAUUAAAAAGAAAAUGUUCUGUCUGGUCCGAGUGAAAGUCUGUCUGGGUAUGUGACGCGCACACUGAUUUUCACAGGUUCCUUCACAGACACAGGCCUCAGCAGCUGCUGCAGCCCUGCUCACAAUAUAUGGGCAACAUCCUCAAGCCACACGGGGCUUUCAAAAUGCUGUUCAUCCUCUCAGGUCAGACACUGAAGAGGUAAACUACAACUAUUCAGCCCACAAGUUCCAUGGGGCAUGAGGCAAGCCACAGCAGUGGGAGACCAUGUUCUCCCACAGCCAGAGCAUGAGGCAGGCCCAUCUGCAAGUGGCUGGGACUCUAGAUGACUGUUUCCUGCACACAGUCUUUCUGCUCAUUGGGAACUUCCCCUCUCCUUACCAGUGAGCAACACAGUCCUGAAACUAGGCCUGCUAAGAAAUGCCAAGAGCUGUUCCUGCAGUUAGAUGUCCUCGGUCCUGGAAUCUUGCUGACCUCUAAUUUGAAAACCUUGCCUUCCAGCUCAGAACAUACCAUUGUUCAAGUUGAACAGAAAGCUGCACAUGUAUUUGUCAUACACUUUCCCUCUUCUGUCUGCUUCAUCCUGAGAAAUAAUCUACAAAGAAGACACAGGAGGAGAUUGUACUGGAGUACAUGGUUAAGACUGUUAGAACACAAAAGAGCCAAGUAAGAGAAUUUUGGUUCCUUUUGAAGAUAUCAAGGAGUAGCUAAAUUUUCUUCUCUAUUUAGCAUGUACACAGUAAAGAGUUCAUGGGGGAAGUGCUUGUCCAGCCAUGCCCUAGUAUGUGUGCAGGUCAAAGGACACCUUGAGAGGGAGUCACUACUCUCCUUCUACCAUGUGGGUCCUGGAUUAAACCCAGGUCAUCAACUUGGCAGCAGGUGCCUUUAUCCGCUGAACUAUACACCAGUCCAAAUAACACUUUUAAGAACUCCAAAUCAGGGAGAUUUCUAUGUCCUAAGCAAUAUGCCUAGAGAAAAUGACAACGAUAUUGUCUUUCUGCUGAGUAAAAGAUGCAAACUGUGACUUUCUAAGGCUGUGAUCUGGCUUUUUCCUAGCCCCACAACUAAAAAGCCAAGCUAAUAAAGCUGUUGUUUUAGGGUCCCCAUCAGCUUGCCUGCCAAGAAAGUAGAACCAAAUAUAUACAGCAAAACUCUUGUUCCUGAACAUCUUCUUCUUCAGGUAAUAAAAGCCAAACAUCACCAGAAAUAAAGCAACCCAGCUAGUCACUAUAUAAACCAAAUCUUCAAACACAAAUAAGUCCAAGCUAAAGGAAAUUUAGUAUUAUUCCAUUCUAAACUUGGUCUUGUUCAAUGAAAUCUAUCCAAAACAAGGAAGCUGCUACUAUAAAAAUCCACUGGAAUACCCGAGUGCCUUACCUCUCCACAGUAUUCUGAGAUGAAUUCAUUUUUCUGUACUGGAUCUUUGAUAAAGAUGCCCCAGCCUGCCACAUCAGACGGUGCCAGCAGUAAGUGCUAGAGAGUAAGCACAAUCACAUUAGGACUGACUGCAGGGGCACACUGAGACUAGUGUCUGCAGGUUGCAAACAAGUUAGCAGAGAUAAACCUCAGACCAUCCGAGGGGAAUUACUCGACUCCCAAGUAGAUUUGAUAGGUAUAAAAGUUGCUGAAUGUGUCUGGAAAACUACUAAAGUAAUGUUUCUAAGUAAAAUUCAGAAAAAAAAUCCUCUUACAGGAAAGACAAACAAGCCUCCCCAUCUGGGCCGGGGGUACUGCAUCAAGGGAAGUAGGAGGAUCUGCUUUUCUCUCACUUCUGUUCAGUCCAGUCCUGGAACUUUCAACCAUCGUCCUCUAAAGGCUCAUGUGCCCCAGCUUGUGGACUGAUCCCCAAGAGGCAACUGAAUUGUGAGGCUCUGAACAACUGAAGAGCAGUCUCGUGACAGACUCAAUUUGUUGGCAUUACUGGGAGGUGAUGCAGAUUCAAUGAGUGGGGGGGUCAGAGGAAGUGGUCCCUGGUGAUAUGUCUUUCAAAUACGUCUCUUGCUCCUGAGCCUUCCUGGGUUCCCUCUGCCUUCUGUGUGCUGUGGAUUGAGCUACUGUUGCCCACUACAUGUUCCCCUACCAUAAUGCUCUGCCUCACUAUGCCUGGGCCAGGAGCAAGGGAAGUGACCAUGUGCUGAAACCAACAGCCAAAAUCUUCUCUUCUUUAUGUUGUUUUUCUCAGUUACUGUAGCAAAACUAAGAAACACAGAAUUUCAUUUUUGUAUAUGUAUAUAUAGUUUAUACAUGUGUGGGCACAUGGUAUGUUCCCACAUGUGUGCACAUGUGCAUGUCAGUGAGCACCUUCAGGUGCAUCUAUUGCUUGCCACUUCUUUGGUGACAUGGAAUCUCCAAAGAGAUUCCUUGCUUCAUUUCAGUUAGACUGGCUGGCAGUGAAGACCCAGGCCCACUAGUCUACCCCACAGCCAGACCUCCAGCACUGAGGUUAUUAACAUGGCCACACCUGGUUUUUAAUGGGGGUGCUGGUUAUAUGAAUGUCAUGUUUGCACAGCAAGCUUUUGGUUUUAAGACAUGUCACUAUACCUUUGAACAUGGGUCUCCCACCAUACCCAAUUAAUGAAACCAACUGAAGGUAUACACACCAACCACUCUCCUCUCGGCCUUUCUGUUUCCCAAAGUACAUUCGCUCGUUUGCCCAAGCCCUUAGCACAUUUGGUUCUUCAAUGGCAUUUAUUCCUCUGAAUACCCGGACAUUUCCUCCACAGCUUUCCUCUAAAAAUUCCUCAUGAUAACACACCAAAACUAACCUUAGUAUGAGGAAUAUGAUGAUUCAUCAAUCCCACAGAAGGCCAAGAUGAUAAGAACCAAAUAUAACUUUUUUUAUUUAUAUUUUUGCUUUGUUUGUCUUUUGUGACCGAGUCUCUCUGUGUAUUCUGCCUAUCCUGAACUCACUGUGUAGACCAGGCUGGCCUGGAACUCACAGAGAUUGGCUGUCUCCUGAGUCCUAGGAUUAAAGGUAUGUGCCACCAUUACUUGGCAACAUAUAACUUUUCAUCAGGGCUCUUUAUCCUGCUUCACUCAGAACCUUCUUGUGACCUUUAAAGGGGUUCCUAGAUCACCCAGGCUUUUCUAAGCCACUCCUUCUUGUCAGGUGAACUUCCCUAUCACCUUUCUGAUCAGAAACAAAAUUAGCUAAAUAUUGGGAACAAGCAAGUGAAACCAGGUGGUAAGAACUAUAUGCACAGUGUUCUACUUCUGAGAGCUAACAAAUGUCAGAGAAGACACGUCAGCAUGAGCAUUCCUGCCCUCUGUGAACAAGCCGAAGGAAGAGAAUAUAGAUCCUACAGUGGCCAAUAUGGCAUCAGGACACAGACAAAAGAUGUCUCAGCAGAUGUGCCAAAGGAAACUGAAACAUUAGGGUCUAAUGACCUAAAUGAAUAUGCAGCCACCUAAAGUAAAAUGAUUCGAGAAUAUUCACUGUGCUCAGCUAAUCUAGGUCAGAUUUUCCAUGAACAGUGUUGGUUCAAAGACCCAAGGGGGGAAAAAAAAAGCCAAGAGAAGCUGAAAGUUCUACCUACGGCAGGAUUUCAAAGAGGGUCCCCUGAAGAGUAGGGUGAUAAGGCUAGAGAGAUGGCUCAGUGAUUAGGGGCACUAGCCAUUCCUGCAAAGGACCUGGAUUUGGUUCCCAUACAGUGCCUCACAACCAUCAGUAACUCUAGUUCCAGAGGACUUAAUAACCCUCCUCUAAACUAUGUGGGUACCAGACAUGUAUUUAGUGCACACACAUACAUGCAGGCAAAACACUCAUAAACAUACUACCUUUAAAAAUAAAAAUAAUAGGGUGCUAUCAACCAUGUGAUGGUUCAUGAGAUGUGACUACACCACACAGGGCAGAAGUGGUAGUGUGGGGAGGGAAGGGACAGCGAGACCCCAGAUUGUGAUUCUUGCUCCAUUACUUGCAAUUGUCUUUAGAUUCAUGGCGCGCUAUGUAAGGUACAGGUAUGAAGGGCACCUUAAGGAGUUAGUCUCUACUCAUACCAUGUUGAGUACUGGGUUUUACUCAUGGAGUCAUCUCAUUAGAUAGUGAGUCAUGUGAAUCUUGGUUUUCUUACCUGUAAUAUACAGUAAGCAGCCAAACAGUGCUUACGUGCUAGACAGCUAAUAAUACUGAAGGGAUUAGUUAAAGAUACUGAAUCUUCAAGUUUCUUUUGCUUAGUGAUUACUCCCUGGCUGCUACAUUUAAAAUCACUUUAUGUAAUGCUUGGGCUUCAAAUCCCUAAUUGCUAGGUGGUUCAUUUUAAGGCUCUGAGGUUGGUAGCACCUUGAGAGUCUUGUGAUACAGUUCACAUAUAUGCUCCUAUUUUACUCAGUCUCUAGAGUGCUGGCACCGCAGGCAUGCACCAUAUACCUGGCCUGUUUGCAAGUGCUAAAGAAUAAGAACAAAGUCUACAGAACUUUGCUGGAGGAAAUUUCAUCUUUUACUGUGCACAGAAAGUACCCUUAAAAAACCAUCCCAAGAAUGUACAUUUGUAUCAGAGUAUCAGAAUGCACAUUCUAAUAUGAAUCAACAUUUAUUUCUAUCGAGGAGAUAAAACUACUUUGUGGAAGAAAACAAAACAUUGAGUCAGCUAUUUAAAAAAUAGAAAAUAAUUCCUAUUUCAAGUCUGAUAACAUUAAUGGCUACUUCUCAGAACCCCAGGUUUAUCUUACCACCCAAUAAGGCAUUUAUUUUAUAGAAAAUUGAGGAUUGCAUUAGCUCUUUAUGUAGUGCCUCCUGGGUGGUGGUCAGUGUCACGAUGAAGCUGACUCUCUGCUCUCCGCCACCAGCUGUCAGAAACUCGCUGGAGGAGAAGAUGAACACACACUAUAAUUCCAGGAGAAGUUCAUAACUGCAGAAGUAGCUAUUGAUGCUCUGUGUGUACAGUGGAAGGAUUAUAUGGUCUGAAUCAGUGGUGGGAAUGUUGUUACUCCACAUGCCGUGCAGAACCAACAUCAAUAUACAGCUUUGACGAAAUAGCACACUAAGAAAAACAAAGAGAAGUCUGCAGAACAUGAACAUGGCCAGAGAAUAAAGGAAGCCAAAGAAAAAUGCCAGGAGCAGAAUGCCAAAAGAGGUAGACUAUCUUCACUAAGAACUUUUACUUAUAAGUCUGAGUCCAGUCAAAAAUAAGUCUUUAAGAAUAGUAAUUAUCAGAUCUUAAAGCUGAGACACACUCCUGUGAUAUCCACACAACACCUGACCACUGUGCCUUCAUCAGCCGCACCUUUAAGGCCCACUUUUAUUUUUUGUUCCCAGAUAGAAUCUCUGAGACUAUCAGUAAACAGCCAUCUUCUGGAGGAUGGAGAUGAAGUCUAGUUGCUGGUGGUGUGCUUACCUAACAUGCACAAAGCCCUGUGUUUAAUCCACAGCACCACAUAAAAUCAGGCAUGGUAGCAUAUACCUGUAAUCCAGCACUCAGGAGGUAGAGGCAGGAGGAUUCAAGUUCAUUUUCAGUAAGUUUGAAAAAGCAGAAUUUACACAAGACACCAAAACUAAUAACAAAGUGUCCACAUUAACUCUUUGUAUUUACCUUUUUAGAGCCCCGCUGAAUGCUACAGUUCUUGCAGGACACAUUUUUACUGUCCCAGUGGUCAGCAGCUCCACAAGUGAGACAGAGGUCAGGAUCACACUCUCGGACAGCCAGGUAGCACGGACACUGCUUGGUGUUGCAUUGUGCUUUGCACCGGCAUCCAGGAAAGCGGUUUUGACCUUUAGGGAUAAAUUUUAUCAUCAUCACCACCAUAUCCAACAGUCAUCACCAUCCACAAUCCUUUCCAGGAAGGCAGUCAAUGUCUUGCUGAGCACAUGAGUCACUCAUUUAAACCCUUACAGUCUUUCCCUUACUGUUCCAUGGUAAGGAUGAGGAAAUAGGCAACCACAAACAUGAAGCUGAUAGGACUGAGACACACUACUGCUGGUUCUUGUUGUCCAUUUCCUAUCUGUUAAAUAGCAUAUGAAUGUAAGGUCCUACAGUUAAUUAAACAGGUAAAGGGAGGUCUUUAGACUGAACAGUAUCCAUAACCCUAGACCAUUCCAGUAAACCUGCGGUUCUCAACCUGUCGGUUUGACCCCUUUGGCAAACCUCUCUCCAAAACAAAUAUACAUUAUGAUUCAUAACAGUAGCAAAAUUAUGAAAUAGCAACAAAAAUAAUUUUAUGGCUGGGGUCACCACAACAUCAACUGUACUAAAGGGUCACAGCAUUAGGAAGGUUGAGAACCACUGUAAUAAAGCAUAUCUCUAACCCAUUCUUUGGUAUCCAGACCAAAGCUUUCUUGAGUGAUUGUGAAAACCUCCUGUGCCCUUACAUACUUCUCUUCAUUCUGAAGACCAAAACCCUCUUAACUCUCACUACUUCUGAUACCCACAAAAGGAAUAGGCAGUUACUUCUAGAUUCUCCUUACAGUCUAUGCCUCUUUACUAUAAUUCAAAUGACCAAAGAGAAAAACAGAAAAAUCCAAUCCAUUUCUACAACUCUGCCUAACUUGUGCAUGAGCACACAGUCACAUUGCCCAAGAGGCUGACUAGACAUUAGCACAGUACAGGGCUCAGUAUAAACACUUGUAGAAUAAGCAGCUCUCCUAAGGCAAGCAGUGAGAGAGCACUCCCAGUCCUUAUGUCUUGAUUUAAAUCACCAGUUUCAGCUGCUGACCAAAGCCUAUUCAGUUCUCAUGCAAUUGCACCAAAGCAACAAAUACUUACACUCUGAACUACAUUGACAAAACUUUUCACAAAAAUUUUGUGCUAUCACACAAGGGCACGAACUGUCACAAGGCUGCCGUGGAUGGUCACAGGGUUGAUAGUUGUAAACAUGGUUAGAGGAGCCGUCUGAGUAAAGAUAACAGCACGCAGCCAAUGAAUCCAGGGAGAUGGGAAAUGAUCAUCACAAUUAACAAGACAUUCUUCCCCACUACCUCUGGAACAUCCUUGACUGGCUGCCUUUACUGAAGUACACAUCACUCCUGUGGAGAGAAAAAAAAUACCUCCCACCCCCAAGUACUUAAAAACUUGGUGCCACAUUUCAGCCCCACUUCCAAAGAACUGCUUCUCACUGACUCACUCCAUCCAGUUCACUUUACUCUCUAAGCAGCAGUAACUGCAGAUCAACAAACACAGUUCAUUUAAACUAAUUUGCUAAGUAAAAGUCAGUUAAAUCAGCAUGACCAAAACUUCAUCCAGUUUCUAUUCUAAAACAAAUGAAGACAAAAGACAUUUGGGGCUGAUAACGAGGUUAGAUGGGAGGAUGCUGACCCUUUUUCAGUUGGAUCUUUCUGCAGUGUGCAGCCCACAACCUGCAAAAAAUAAAAAAGGUUCUGUGUGAGGUACGACUAGCUACAAAUCUGCGUCCUGUCUUAGUGGGCCUGGCUGUGCGAUUAACGCAGCAGUGCUGGUUUUAGACUCCCUAGCUUGUCAGUUCAGAGUGACUCAGGAACCUGCUCACUCAGGUCACUUUGUCAUGCCCAGAAGCCUGGCAAUAAAGUUCUUGUCCACACUGCCUGGUUAAGACUACAAAGGCGGGCUGGGGAUUUAGCUCAGUGGUAGAGCGCUUACCUAGGAAGCGCAAGGCCCUGGGUUCGGUCCCCAGCUCCGAAAAAAAAGAACCAAAAAAAAAAAAGACUACAAA